CCUACUCUGCGCUCUGGGCCGGCGGCCGGGCGUCGCCGGGGGCGGACCUGGGGUCCCCGGAACUUUGUGCCUGAAGUUGCCGCCGUCGCCGGGUCCCGUGUCUGGGGCACGCCGCCUCUGCAGAGCUGCCGGUGGGCGAGUCGGUGAAUCGGAGUCUGGCCUUGUGAGCCCCGGACUGAGGGUCCUCCGCGGGGCUGCCCCGCUGGCGAGCCACUGCCUGGUUUCCGGCAUCAGGUUGUCAGCGUCUCUUGACACUUGUCACCUUUGUCUCCCCCCUGCCCCAAGGCUGGCGCUCCCGUGAGUGGAGACGUCCAAGACCGUAUGGAAAUUCCAGGAGAGAGAGGUGCCUCCGGAUGAGCAGAGAUCAGGAAUUGCCGGUUUGUGAUGACCGAUGAUUCUCUCUAAGGCGAUGGCGUGGACCAGAAUGAGAAAUAAAUUUCCGUCGCUGAUUGCAAAGUGAAAAAGAAGCAGGCGACAGACUGAGACUGCCAAGCGGAAGAUGGACCCUUGUGAAGAUCUGGCAUUGCCCAGCAGUAAGCUCCACGACUCCAGGGGCCGUGAGCCCAGUGAACUUGAAGGAGCACAGGCCGGGGCUCCUGAGGCCCUGGGGAAAGAAUCUGGCAAGAUGUGGAGCCGGAAAUACCAGCUGCAGAGCAGAAACGUGGAGAGCAGCAACAGUGAACGGCAAGAUCGAAACAGAGUUUCUGAAGAACUUAGAAUGGUUGUCCAAGAAAUGAAAAAGUACUUCCCGUCAGAGAGACACAAUAAACCAAGCACCCUAGAUGCCCUCAACUAUGCCCUUCGCUGUGUGCAUAGAGUACAAGCCAACAGUGAGUUUUUCCAGAUUCUCAGUCACAACGGAGCACCUCAAGCAGAUGUGACCGUGUACAGUCUUGAAGAGCUGGCCACUGUUGCUUCAGAACACACUUCCAAAAACACGGAUACCUUUGUGGCAGUUUUUUCAUUUCUGUCUGGAAGGUUCGUGCACAUUUCUGAACAGGCUGCUUCGAUCCUGAAUUGUAAGAAAGAUUUCUUGGAGUCCUCUCAUUUUGUUGAGCUGCUUGCCCCUCAAGAUGUGAGGGUGUUCUACACACACACUGCCCAUGCUCAGCUUCCCUUCUGGAACAACUGGACCCAAAGAGCAGCAUCACAGUGUGAAUACGCUCCAGUGAAAUCCUUCUUCUGCCGGAUCCGUGGAGGAGGAGACAGAGGGCAAGAGAAGCAUUCCUCCCCGUUUCGGAUCAUCCCCUAUUUGAUUCACGUACACAGCUCUGCCCACCUGGAACCUGAGCCCUGCUGUCUCACGCUGGUCGAGAAGAUUCACUCUGGCUACGAAGCUCCCCGAAUCCCAGUGGAUAAAAGAAUUUUUACCACAACACACACCCCAGGGUGUGUUUUUCUUGAAAUAGAGGAAAGAGCCGUGCCUUUGCUGGGUUACCUACCUCAGGAUCUGAUUGGAACAUCUGUCUUAAUGUAUUUGCACCCGGAGGACCGUUCUCUGAUGGUUGCCAUACACCAGAAAGUCUUGAAGUAUGCAGGCCAUCCUCCCUUUGAACAUUCACCUAUUAGAUUUUGUACUCAAAAUGGAGAUUACAUCAUAUUGGAUUCCAGCUGGUCCAGCUUUGUGAACCCGUGGAGCCGGAAGGUUUCUUUCAUCAUUGGUCGGCAUAAAGUCCGAACGAGUCCACUAAAUGAGGAUGUUUUUGCUACCAGAAUAAAAAAGAUGAACAGUAAUGACAAAGACGUAACAGAAUUACAAGAACAAAUUCACAAACUUCUCUUACAGCCGGUUCACGUGAGUGCCUCCAGCGGCUACGGAAGCCUGGCGAGCAGUGGUUCUCAGGAGCACCACAUCAGCGUAGCAUCUUCCAGCGAGUCCAGUGGGCACUGUGCAGAGGAGAUACAGAAGGAACCGUUGACUUUGCAGCAGGUGUAUGCCAGUGUAAACAAAAUUAAGAACCUAGGUCAGCAGCUCUACAUCGAGUCAAUGACCAAAUCACCAGAUAAGCAAGUGAUGCGGACGCGCACAGGGCGGCUUGGUGGUGAGCAGAAGGCCUUUUCUUCCUUCCAGACACUGAAAAAUAAUAGCAAGUACAGUGAGUCUUGUGAGGAUUUGAGAAAAGAUCAGCAUAGCCCAUCCUAUCAGCAGAUCAACUGUAUUGAUAGUGUUAUCAGAUACCUGAAGAGCUACAACAUUCCAGCUCUGAAAAGAAAGUGUAUAUCCUGUACAAACACAGCUUCUUCGUCCUCAGAGGAAGACAGACAAAACCACACGGCAGAUGAUGUCCAAGCAUUGCAAGCUGUUUCUCAGAUCCCAGCCAUACCUAAAUCGGAAAUGCCCACUGAUGGACAGUCCAUGGACGCUGAAGCAGGAGCUCCCCGGACCCUGUCCACGGCAGCACUGAGCCUGGGUUCUGGCAUCAGCCAGUGCAGUUACAGCAGCACCAUUGUUCACUUCCCGCCCCCGGAGUCAGCAGAAGUGACUCCCGCAGAGGAUCACACCCGAGCCUCUGAGCCCUGGACUCUAAGCAAACACCCAGCUCCACCGACCUCAGAGGAGCUUAAACACGUAGGGCUCACUAAGGCUGUGCUGUCAGCCCACACGCGGAAGGAGGAGCAGAAUUACGUCGGUAAAUUCCGGGAGAAGAUGCUGUCAUUGCCCUACAGCUCCUAUCUUCAGCAAGGAAGUAGAAGCAAAGCUGAAUAUUCAUAUGUUCAAGGAGAUUCCGCUUCCAAGCAGAGCAGGUCAGCUGGUUUCCGGAAGGGGAUGCACAAGCGGAAGAAGCGCCCUGUGCCAUCAGACAGCAGGAGCUCUAAGGGCACCUCCCAUCCCCACUUUAGGGGAGAGGUCCGGAACGUACAGCCCUGGUUCCCUGCCCCUGCCUCCUCUCCUCACGCCUCUGGCCUGUCCUUCCCGGCUGCAGUGAUGGUUCCCAGCCAGGCCCCUUAUCUUGUACCAGCUUUUCCCCUCCCAACCGUGAGCCCUCAGGGAAAAGAACACACAGCCUCGGUCACUGCAGUGCAGUGUCCGCCUGAGCCGCUCCUAUCCAAUGGCUUGCAGUCUCUUCCAGCUCUCCCGCCUCCUUACUUAGACACUUUUAUGACCAUUUUCCUGCGUGACCCCCUUAUGUGUCCUCUGUUGUCACCAUCACUCUCCCCAUAUCCAUUUUUGGGAGCAACAGGCUCUUCUGAAAUACCACCGUUGGUAUCAGCAGUGGCUCCAAACCUGGAACCACCAUCUUCAGUCAUCGACCAAAGGAGAGGCGAGGAGAAGUGGGAGACACAGAGUGGAGAGCACCGGUUCACUAGCUCGAGAAGCAGCUCACCGCUGCAGCUGACCUUACUUCAGGAAGACCCGCCCAGGUCCUGGGAGUCUUCAGACCAGAUGAGAGGGGAUGUUUGCCCAGAAGCUGAGUAUCAGUGUGUUACAGGCGACAGUGGGAACAGGAGCAGUCGUUUUCCCGCCAGUGAACCGUCCAUGGUGUUACUUCCCCAGGAGUCUCCGCCUGGAACUAGUUCUGCAGCAUCAGGAAGCAGUGACAGCAGUGUAUGCUUUGCUACUAGUGAUUUUCCUUCUGAGAUCACCCCAAAUGGGCAGCAGUCUCAGGAUGUACAGAGAAAAGAAACAUUUCCCAGUGUAGCUGAAGAGGCCAUCUGGAGAAUGAUAAAACAAACACCUGAGUGCAUUCUAAUGACAUACCAGGUGCCUAACAGGGUUAAAGAAAUUGUACUGGAAGAAGACCUAGAAAAGCUAGAAAGCAUGAGGCAGCAACAGCCACAGUUUUCUCACGGACAGAGGGAGGAGCUGGCCACGGUGCAUUCUUGGAUUCAGAGCCAGACUGUCCCUCAGGAAAUAGACCUCCAGGGCUGUGUCUCUUGCAAAAACAAAGAUUCAGUUGGUGAUGCUACAGGGUCCUGUGACCAAGAGCCAGCACAAGACAGCAGUUGAGCGACCAUGGAGAUGUGCCUGCACACCCUUCCCAGGACCUGCUGGACAGCUAGACCUCUGAAAAACACUUCCUCCUCUCAAGUUUUAUAGCUUUUUAUAAAAAUGCGUUCUGAUGAUAAUUAAGAGAAUCGACCUUUUUAUCCACGGUGACUGCUGGACCCUGAUUCUCAAUCCUCAUAGUUUAGAUUUCCUUUCUAAAGUAGUAGUUUCCUGGAAGGUAAUUCUGUCUUAAGGUGUCAGAACCAUUUUCAGAUGCUGCCUGUGACAUUUAUUGGAAUUUUCUAAUAUUGAGCAGUUCCAUGCAAAUAUUCGUCUUUUGAGAAUAGACAGCUCUCACAGUCUACUCCAUCUUGACUAUUACAUGCUUUCUGAUGCCUUUGUUGUGUUGGUCAAGUCGUGUGGUAUUUUUGCCCUUGGUGAGAAACUAAAUUUCAAAAAAUUAACCAUCCUGAAUAUUGUCCAUCGGUGUAAUCAUUGUGUCUAUCUGUAGUGAUAAAAUUUUUAAUUUCUGUAAAUCAGAAAUGACAUGUAACUAUCAAAGGAUCAUUCUGCAUUCCUGUUUGCAUUUUUUAAACCUUGUGUUCUCUAAUAAUAUAUGUCCUUAUUUUCCAUUCUUUCUGGAUAUUUGUUUUAUCUAAAUUUGCUCAUUUCUUUGCCUUAGUACACAUUUUAUGGCGUGUGUAUUAGCCUAGGCUUGAUUUGAAAGUGGUGCUUGUUGUAGGCAGACCUGUAAAACCAUUUAUGAUUCUCGUAUUGGUAAUUAGAUUAGUUGGUGUGUUUAGAGACUGGACACAAUGCUCCUGCUGCUGAGGGUGACUGGAGGAAGCUCAGCAGUGACAGCAGCCGCCCCCCAAGGGGGCUUCACCAGAUUGUAACCUUUGUUGUUCACGUUUAUUAACUUUUGUAUUAAUGACUAUAGAAAUUGGUAAUAGAAAUGUAUAUUAUUGGCCUCAGUAUUUGCAAAACUGUUACCCAAAAGGCUGUAUUUUUCUUGGAUAAGAGGUUAGGAUUUGUGAAAAAGAGAAAGCUGUGUGAAUGGAAUCAUUUUGCAAUUAAGUGAAAACUUCAUUAUAAUUCACAAGGUAAAUUUAAUCCAAAUUGAAAUUUUGUUUCAACUGAAUUUAUAAUUAAUUGUGUGAAUCUACUUGUUUUUAAUGGUUAUUAAUAUUUUAAUUGGGUAUCUUUUUUUAAGUAAAAACAACAAAUAAACUGUAUAUAUGUAAAACCUAAGAAAUUUUCUCAGUGACACCUUGUGUUGCCUUGUCACCUGUGCCCAAGCUCCCGCUGUGUGGACGAUACUGGCGUUUUCAGGUUCAUUAUCUUAUUGAAUUCUCACUUCAGCACCGUGAAGUGCUGAAUUUAUUGGCUCCUGAGCGUAUGUACAUAUUUUCAGUACUGAUUUUAAUGCCUAAUUUAUAAAAUUCAGUUAACAAAAUUACUCUUUCCUAUUCUGUAGAGUGAACCUGUGUUUCACAAGUCUGUGUAAUAGACAGCAACAGAAUCCAAAAAUUAAAAUAUGGAAGAAGAUCCUGAAGCCAACAGGACUUUUUUGUGUGUGUGUGUGAGGAAGAUCAGCCCUGAGCUAACAUCUAUUGCCAAUCCUCCUUUUUUUCCCUUUUUCUCCCUAAAGCCCCAGUAGAUAGCUGUAUGUCGUAGUUGCACAUGCUUCCAGUUGCUGUAUGUGGGACGCGGCCUCAGCAUGGCCGGAGAAGCAGUGAGUCGGUGUGCGCCCGGGAUCCAAACCUGGGCCACCAGCAGCGGAACUCGAGCACUUAACCGCUAAGCCACGGGGUCGGCCCCCCAACAGGACUUUUUAAAUGUCACACCUUUCAAAUCAUCUGCACCUUUCUCUAACAAAACAGCAAUAACAAUAGCAAGAAGAAAAAGCAGCUCUGUGUUUAUUGAUGGACACGGCUCGAGUGCUCUCCAUGAGGUCCUUCGUUUAGUGCUCACGAGCGCCGGUGCAGGGAGCAUCGCUCUUCUGGUUUCCCAGAGCAGGACGCGGAGGUGGAGGGAGGCCUCACGGCUGUGUGUUGGGAGCAGGGAUUGGAACGAAGGGGACUGACUCCAGAGCCCUGUCUGUGAGAGUAAUUGCCUCACGUUGCUAAAACAAGGGUGGGAUGUUGGAAUUAUACUACAGUGGAAUUCCACCUUAAUUCUUUCUGGUUUCAUAAAUAUUAAAUAGUUUCAUGGUGCCCAAGUUCUGUGCUAGAGAACUAGUAUUAGUUUAAUUUCAGCAGUGAGGGGUACGCCACAGUGUUGCCAUAGCUGUACUUAAUGUCAGCGCGUUUCUGAGGUUACACAUCCAUUCCCCAAGUUGAAAACAUCUUUCCAUAUAGAUUUAUUCUCAAUGUCUUAAAUAAGGAAAGUGAAAGAUUAAUCAAACCUGUGCUCUGUAAGAGAUUUUUGAUAUUUGUUGACAAGAUCAGUACCAGUUAUGUGUGGCUGUUUGGUGCAGACCUGACACUUCAUUCCUCCUAAGUGGCGUGGUGGAGGAGUGGC